rnacentral:rRNA from 1 species
GAUGAAUGCUGGCGGCGUGCCUAACACAUGCAAGUCGAGCGGCAGCGAGUUUUACACUGAAUUCUGGAAGCUUCUGAGUAGUACAGAAGAUUUAUUCAAGAGUUUUGUGUAAAAUGUCGGCGAGCGGCGGACGGCUGAGUAACGCGUAGGAAUUUGCCCCAAAGUGAGGAAUAACUGCCCGAAAGGGUAGCUAAUGCCGCAUAUGGUCUUCGGAUUAAAGCCUUCGGGCGCUUUGGGAGAAGCCUGCGUUGGAUUAGGUAGUUGGUAGGGUAAUGGCCUACCAAGCCGACGAUCCAUAGCUGGGCUGAGAGGAGGAUCAGCCAGACUGGAACUGAGACACGGUCCAGACUCCUACGGGAGGCAGCAGUGAGGAAUCUUCCACAAGGGGCGAAAGCCUGAUGGAGCAACGCCGCGUGAAGGAUGAAGGCCUUCGGGUUGUAAACUUCUUUUAUGAGUGAAGAAUGUGACGGUAACUCAUGAAUAAGCACCGGCUAACUACGUG